GCGUUGUUCGGAUUUACUGGGCGUAAAGCGCACGUAGGCGGACUAUUAAGUCAGGGGUGAAAUCCCGGGGCUCAACCCCGGAACUGCCUUUGAUACUGGUAGUCUUGAGUUCGAGAGAGGUGAGUGGAAUUCCGAGUGUAGAGGUGAAAUUCGUAGAUAUUCGGAGGAACACCAGUGGCGAAGGCGGCUCACUGGCUCGAUACUGACGCUGAGGUGCGAAAGCGUG
rnacentral:rRNA from 1 species